UACGAAGGGGGCUAGCGUUGCUCGGAAUCACUGGGCGUAAAGGGCGCGUAGGCGGACUCUUAAGUCGGGGGUGAAAGCCCAGGGCUCAACCCUGGAAUUGCCUUCGAUACUGGGAGUCUUGAGUUCGGAAGAGGUUGGUGGAACUGCGAGUGUAGAGGUGAAAUUCGUAGAUAUUCGCAAGAACACCAGUGGCGAAGGCGGCCAACUGGUCCGAUACUGACGCUGAGGCGCGAAAGCGUGGGGAGCAAACAGG
rnacentral:rRNA from 1 species